UGAUUUGAAUAGAUUAUUUUCCACUGAUAAAGGACGAGACUCUCUGACACCAAACGCUUCCCUUCCUAAUACUUUGGAUCAACCAGAAACCUGAAAAUUUCAUCCAAGAAGCUUUCCUUAAGAUAAAGCGAUAGCAUUUUCCCGAGAAUAAUUGCCAGUCUCGUUGAAACUUUAGCCAGGGAACUUAUCAAAUAAAGAAACCAUCUAGUUCCAGACCAUAGGCAGAGUCCAGGAAAGUCAAACCCACGGCCUCAUGGAAAUUUAGAAUUACACAGUUUAGAAUUACACAGUUGUUGGGUCAGCUUGAGAGUAAAGAAUGUGAAAUUCUUUAUCUGAGAUUCUCCAAGACCAUGUGAGCUGUGGCCCAUUGUUUUAAAAUCAUAUAAUUGAAGAAAGCAAACUUCUAAAAAGAGAUGUGUAUCAUCUCCUCGAGGCUGUACACUGCCAAGUGAUGGACUGAUCCCCAGUCUAUGAGCUCUUGUUUAUCUCUGCCUCAGUUCUGAAGCAAGAUGGUGUCCACACAGGCUGAAUCUUGGGGAUGGAUGGAUGCUGGUAAUAAGAGGCUGAAUUCCAUUUCCAAGUAAGGUGCUUCAUACAAAUAAAACAGAUUUUGUUCUAUCUCAAUGUAAAUCAAGUGCCUUUGUACUGACAUGAAAUGGAUUUGUUAAUAAUUGUGAUGUUUGAUGGGCUGUUAAUAUUAAAUGUAAGGUGUUCAAAUGUUUUAAUUCCAUUGAAUAAAUUCUGAGGCAGUCAAAAAAGAGAUUAAAAGUAAGUCCACAAUAAAUAUCAUUAAUGGUAUAAA
rnacentral:lncRNA from 1 species